GCUCCCGUUGGUCUAGUGGUAUGAUUCUCGCUUAGGGAUACACCCUGAGUACUCAGCUUGUCUGCGAGAGGUCCCGUGUUCGAACCACGGAUGGAGCC